AGAGAGAUGGCUGCUCCCUGUCUAGAGAAAUAGCCAUGUCCCCCCAGCUCAGCAGCAAUGGGAAGGUGGUCUGGGGUGAAUAAUUUCUAAGGGGACAGAGAGGAAGCAGAUCUGGAGAGAGAAAAACUGACCAGAGUUCUCACGGCUGGAGGCUCCCUUAAUUAAUUCACCUGCCUGAUCCCAUGGACCCACACCCUAAGUGACAAAGGGGCACCGGAACUCUGAGAAUCAGUUCUGAGGUUGUGAACAUUGGACACAGAUAAUUAUCCAGCUAAACAGUGUCUCUUCUGCCCUCACAGAAAAACAUGUGGUCAAGAGGAAAUUGAAUCAAGUCCUUUAAUCAGCCACAGUAGUAUUCGAAUCAUUUAAUUUAGGAUCUGACAACCACAAAUUACUCUAUUUUUCAAGCCAAUUUUAGCCAACCAGGAGAACUGGCCCCAGUCAACUCAAGUUUAAUAAAUGCCUGAUGAUGGCAGUUUCAGAGGAAGUUUUUCUUUCUUUCUGUUUUUGAUUUCUUGGAAAUGUUCCCUUCCUGGCUCCCCGGGGCUGAGAGUGAACCCUGUGGGCAGAGAGCGCCAGCCACACCACACCGGGCAGCAGCGGGCAGCACAGGGAGCCAUCACUUCUGCCACUGAGGCUUUUCAUUCCUGGCCCUGAGUUCUUUUGGCCAGGAAAACAAGUCAAAUCAUAUUAGAGGCAGGCAGGCAUGGCCCACGGCGGCGGCGGCUCACCCGCGCUGGCCUCAGACCUUUCAGCACUUUCUGGAAACCCUGCACCGGAAGUAAAAAAAGAUGGCUUCGGAGUCAAAACAACAUCCGCCGGACACGCCAGAGAUGGCAGCUGUCACAAAGCCAGUAAGA
rnacentral:lncRNA from 1 species